GGGGCUGUGGCGCAACGGUAGCGCGUUGUGAGUACCAACUUGCUUCAAUAAGUCAAUUUGAAGCAAUUAUUCUAACAGUUAUAUACUAGCGACUCCAGAUCGAAAGGUUGUAGUUUCGAAUACUGCCAGCCUCA